rnacentral:sRNA from 1 species
GCCAGUUGCAGUGGCAUGCACCUGUAGCCCCAGGUACGUGGGAGGCUGAGGCAGGAGAAUUAAAUGGGCUUGGAAGUUGUGGACUGCAGUGUGCUAUGCCAAGCAGGUGAUUUUUCUAGGUUUGGUAUCAAUAUGGUGACUUUCUUGAGGCAAGGGACCACCAGAUUUUUUAAGUAAUGGGGAAGUGAAACAACGCAGGUUGAAAAUAAAGUAGAUCAAGACUCCCAUGCUGUAUCACUGCAUCCCAGCCUGGGCAACAUAGUAAGACCCUACCUCU